rnacentral:rRNA from 1 species
UACGUAGGGGGCAAGCGUUGUCCGGAUUUAUUGGGCGUAAAGAGCGUGUAGGCGGCUUGGUAGGUCUCGCGUCAAAACCUGAGGCUCAACCUCAGUUCGCGUGGGAAACCACCUAGCUAGAGUCCGGAAGAGGAGAACGGAAUUCCCAGCGUAGCGGUGAAAUGCGCAGAUAUUGGGAAGAACACCAGUGGCGAAGGCGGUUCUCUGGAACGGUACUGACGCUGAGACGCGAAAGCGUGGGGAGCGAACAGG